rnacentral:lncRNA from 1 species
CAUUUUGGUUCACAGAUCUGUCGCAGUAGAGCCGAACAUGUUUCACAUUUCCAAAUGUUUCCGGUGUGCGUCUGCGAAUCGGCUCUCCGUGAUGAGGAUUGUGGUCACAUGACAGCCGUCAAAUCAAAUCAGCAAAUGCAUUACAAGCUUUUAAACACAAGAUAUCCCUUGAUACCACUUUGUUUGUCAAAGUCCGGCCUGUAGAACUGUUAGAAAUUUAUAUACACAUACAAUCGAUUCUUCAUCGUCUUUGUGCUUCACAUUUCUUUUACUAGGACAGAACGCAGUUGAUAUCUCAGUAGAAACACAGACUGCUUGUGUCUCUGUGCAUUAUUAAUGCCUUUAAGGCAGCUUGUCUCAGAUUUUGGCCAAAUAUAUAUAUAUAGAUUUUUUUAACAAACAUCUUUGAAUGCAAAAAUUAGUUUAAAUGAUGCAUCAGUGCAAAUGAUUAUAAAGAAGAAGAAAAAAACAUUGUUUUUGUAAUCAUUCACCAACAUACAAAAUUUAGAAGAAACCCUUUCACAAUCAGAUCUGAUGGAUUUCUGAUGGAUAAAAUCUAAUACUCAUAAGAUUACAGAAGUAAAAUGGCUUGUUUCACGUUGACUUUAAACAGGGUUGCCACAGCUUUAGCUUCUGAUUCUUCAAGAACUGCUAGAAUCACAAAUACAGCUGCAAGCAGCAAUUAAGGAGCCGAGCAUGAAAAUCGGACCAAUGAUCUAGGAGGAGUAUGAAAAAAAAAAAAAUGUUUUCAGAGGAACCAAAACCGGCAGACGGGAAUUUCGGCCAAUUAUGGUAUAAUUGGUAUUGACGUAUGAGCAUAAUGUCAAGACCAUAAUCUAUCAAGACCAGCAGGAAAAAUAUUCAAAAGUUAAUAAUUUUUUUAAAUGUCAUUAUAAUUGCCCAAAGCUUUUUGAGUACCUUCAGGGCAUGGUGCCGAUGACACAUACAGAGGUUUGACUUUUGUUACAACACACCAUUGAAUUUGUAUAAAAAAAAAACAAAAAACAGCAUUUUACGAAGAAAUUCAAAAUAGCUGACAUGGGAAUAUUGGGUAUCGUUCAACCUGGUAUGUUGUCACAAAAGUAAAAUGACAGGUCUUGUGAUUUUUGGCCAAAUCGUUCAGAAGUUAUAAUCAUAAAUAUUAAUUUUCAAAACUCCUGUCCACUAGGUGGAGCUGUGCCAAAAC